UCCUCUUGACAUUGUAGACGUGGGAAGGGGGAGCUGACGUCUCCCUGGAUGCUUACUGAAGAUUCAAACGGACACUGCGGGGAUCCCGCAGCCAGCAGUGGGACCCAGCUCAGAAACGCCGCAGACGGGUGCUGAAACCCGCCAGACCCCCACCCUGCAGCUUCUCACUGUGGAAUGCCGGAAAAGUUACUGGACUUCUGUAAAGUGGACAUGAAUUCUUAUUCUCCAACAUUUCUGGGAGAGUGAAUGUUCCAUUACAUCGACACUGUGAAAAAGGUCUGUCCGCGGGCCCGCUGCCCUCCCCGGGUGACACCGCCAGCAUCCCCCAGAGGGAACACAUCUCUGCACGUGACUAUCCGGAAUUACUUUCAUUGCGCACGUAAUGCAAGGCAGGUCAGUACAAGGGGGUCAAGACCCAGUCGCGAAAAGGGGUCUGGUCACGGCGCCUCCAUCACCCGACUGGGCGCCCCUGCUCCUGCCCGCACGCGCAGCCGGGGUUCCAUCCUCAUCCUCGGCACUCCGUUUUCCUUCCUUCAUGCGUUGCUACCCCUUCUAACCGGUAUAACUUUAAAAAGGAACCAAAUUCAGCAAAUGUCAAGGAAUAUUUCACACUGAUUAAAAUAAAGGGGAUCAGUAACUAGUUCCCAGAAACCAUUUGUGCUGUCGGUGACAGGUCUCCACUGGUGAGAGUGAAUUCCUCUAGCUGGCUAGGAUUUUCAUGUAAAUGCUGAAAAAGAAGCAGGGGAAAAUGUGCUGAAAAUGAGAACUAAAAAAACUUUUGAAGUGCUCAAAAUAACGAUACACAACAUUUCCCACUGGGGGUGAGGAUUCUCACCAGCCCAGCAGUAUAGGUACCUUGAUAGUGUCUGUUUCAUUCUCACGCUAAAGCGAAACGUCUGCCUAAAGUAACCCCAUCUCCUCCGGUCAGGUGGCAUCCCUGGGGAGAGGGGUGCAUCGCUGACUCGAGGGCAGUCUCCUCCUUCCAGAUUUGAUCAGCGUUUUUCACUUCUCUCCCCUUAGCCGCAGGAUGAUAAAUGGCAUACAUAAAAGUCGGCCUGAGAUACUGUAAGAUCAUGUGACUUGUAAAUCAGCAAAGAGCAAUUAGAUAAGGGUUGAUCCUGGUCCAAGGGUCAAGCAUGUUUUAU